rnacentral:rRNA from 1 species
GAUGAACGCUGGCGGCGUGCCUAAUACAUGCAAGUCGAGCGAACAGACGAGGAGCUUGCUCCUCUGACGUUAGCGGCGGACGGGUGAGUAACACGUGGAUAACCUACCUAUAAGACUGGGAUAACUUCGGGAAACCGGAGCUAAUACCGGAUAAUAUAUUGAACCGCAUGGUUCAAUAGUGAAAGACGGUUUUGCUGUCACUUAUAGAUGGAUCCGCGCCGCAUUAGCUAGUUGGUAAGGUAACGGCUUACCAAGGCAACGAUGCGUAGCCGACCUGAGAGGGUGAUCGGCCACACUGGAACUGAGACACGGUCCAGACUCCUACGGGAGGCAGCAGUAGGGAAUCUUCCGCAAUGGGCGAAAGCUUGACGGAGCGACGCCGCGUGAGUGAUGAAGGUCUUCGGAUCGUAAAACUCUGUUAUUAGGGAAGAACAAACGUGUAAGUAACUAUGCACGUCUUGACGGUACCUAAUCAGAAAGCCACGGCUAACUACGUG